AAAGGGUUGAGGUCUUUUACAAGCUGGGGGAGUGUGAGAUGGGAGUUCUAGGAUCUCAGCUGAUGUCAUAGUUCAUCUGUACAGUAAUGGAUGAUGGUUCUUCCGUAUAUCCCAAAUAAGGAGCAUGCAUUCUAAAGGCUGAUCCAACAGGAAGGGGAGGCUGUCUGCAGGAGGCUAGAUAUGGAUAUGCUAUGUGUUUACACACCAGAACUAUAAGACUGGACUCCGUGUUAUGUGUCUUG